AGGGGAUCGAGGGAAGUAUAGAGCCAGUUUGCGGCGGCGGCGGUGCGCAUGCUAUUUUCACCGUAUCAGCCAUGGACAACUGUGGUCUCUGAUUAGCUGGUGGCGCAGCCAUGGCAAUUGAUUUCCCCAUCCCUGUAGUGGACAGGUUGCCCAUCUUCCCGGACGAGGCCUCUAGCGCGGUGGCAUUGAUGGAUUUGGUUGUUGGGGCUGCUCGUUGGGAGGUAGCUUCCAGCAAUGGAUCACGCGGGCCGGUCGUGUGUGGAUCUGGACGGAGCUCCCGUGGUGUGGCUGCUACUAUUUACUAUGAAGAAACACGUGUGGCUGCUGGCGGGCCAGCCCUGUCCACUUUCAAUGAGAGUGAGGGCGAUAACGCUGAUGCCAUUGGGCAUGGCAGUGUUGAGAGCCACAUAUUGAUGGUGUCCAGGAGGCUGUGAUGAAGAUCGAGCAGAGUGGUGAUGCAGGCUCUGCCCAGUCUACUAUGAAGGUUGAUCCCCAAGCCCCUGGCUGGACUAAGAGGGUAAGAGUCGGUAAUCAGCCACAGAUAGAGCGCCAUGUCCUGAGAGAAUUGGUGCCUUGGAACAGGCAAUUAAGGGGUGUGCAGAUAAAUUGGGAGAUCAUUGAGUUGAACCUGCUAUCUGUUAAAUUUUGACUCGUUGG